GGCGGAUCAGGGUGGAGGGAUCCCCAGCACCAAGGAAGUCCGGCGCUGGAGAAAGGUAAGUGCUGAAGGGGUUUUAAACACACACACUCUCACGAACAGACUCAUACAAACUAGCUUACAGACACACACAUUUACUGACAGAGACACACUCAGCGACAUACAGACAUACACACUCACUGACAGACAGACACACAUACACACUCACUUACAAAACAUACACUCUCACUGACAAAC